ensembl:lncRNA
GGAAUUCAAGUCUAAUAAUGUUCAUUUCUGGACAGCACGCAUUUAGAUGCGUAUGCAUUCAAAAAAGGAAGUACACUCACUUUUUAGGUAGUAGUUGCAAGCUAUUCUUUGUGAUGGAAUGAAGCGGUCUGCUCAUUCAGCAGUGCUUUUAUAGCCUUUCAUCAAAGCAUUUAGUAAGUAGAUGGGAGAACUGAAGAUCAGAAAAAAGGAUUUGAUCAUCGUGUUUGGCUCCUGGUCUGGGAAGACACAGCAGCGUCCAGACUUGGCUCCGAGCUCCAGCUCAGUGACUCAGUAGCCAGGCGAGCAUCCACAGCCUUGCACCGCUCCAGCCCGGGGAGACGGGAGAGGGCUGUGGGAUGGGACGUGCCUCAAAUACCAGACGCGGCUCUCAGCCAGCUCGAUGCACAAAGCAGGAAGUGAGAGAAACUCUCCCAACAUGCUGCUGUGCGGGAUAUCUUCCCUGGUGCUAUUCUGUUCCUUUAUAAAAAUGUCUUUUGGUACGAAACCAAAAUUUCUGGUCUGCUGGAGCCAAGAGAGUAGCUGGCCAAUGCAGCGGGAGCAUCUCUUCCCUUCCCUGUCCUGUCUAUGGGCAGCACUGCACUGCCCCGCGCAGCACCGGAUGUCCCGCAUCCCAGUAUUUAUGCACUCGUUGGGCAUGCACGUGAAAUGUCACCACUUCUGACACAUCUGUUUGAAUAUUGUUUUUUUUUAUACAGGGGCUGUGUUAAUACGCAAUGGAGUAAAUAACUUGUUUAUUAUUUUCCUGACGUUGGUAGGAUUUGUCUUUUUGGAAGGUUCAUGUGGUAGAGAGCCCGUGGGACCACAGCGGAAGAUGCAGACCAGGGCUUGUCUCAGAGGGUAUGGACUACAAGAAGAUCCCCCAGAAGACACAGAAUGGGAAGCAGCACCCACCACCACCCUUGGGAGCUCCGGUCACCCCGAGCUGGGAGGACAAGGCUAUUGGCAACUUCCAUCUUAUGUGAAAAUAAAGGGCCCAGAGCUUUGAGCCCUCAUGCUUUGCUCCAGAAGUCCACGGAUACCAUGUCACAGAGGACAAGGGCAUCUGGGUAAGCUGGAAGCGGCACGACCUCUCCCUCUCUUUGUCGCAAUUCGGGAAGGAAACGUUUCUGCACAAACGUGAAGAAAUACAGCAGACUUGCCUUAUUUCGGACCACAGGAGGGCGACGUUCAGCUGCAGCUGAAACAAACAGGACUUCCCAAAACAGGUGUGCCGUUUACUGAUGUAAAAAUAAAUGAGAUGAAGCAAAUUAGCUAAUUUUAGAGUGGUUACAGACCGUGGCUAUUGUUUGAUGCAUCGGUCUGCAUCCACUCUGACUUAGCAUUUUGUUGAUUUGCGGUUAAUCGGUAAUUGCCCUAAAUCACUUUGUCAUCCUUGAGCAAAGGUAAUAAAUUAUGGAGGAUAAGGCAUAGUUGUAUGCUAGAUUGUGGCUCUGUUACUUGUUUAGUUACUUUGUCAUUUUGUCAUCCUUAACCGUGUUGCACAGUUAAGUGUUAUAUUGAUGGGGAAGAGGACUGGGGAAGGAUUAUGAUUUUGAAUAGAGAAAUUACCUAUGAGUGCGUGUGUGUUAAGAAAAGUGUUACAAGGAUUGCAGGCAGAGAACACAAACGGUAUGGUAUGAAAACUGCACAAUACUAAUUUUUGGAGAGCAACGUACCAACAGGAGUGUAUUAAUGCAGGUGACUUCCAGUAGUCUUGGUAAUGUAGCAAAUGUAGUCGCAUGAAGGUUUUUGUUCAGCAAGAGCUUGUAGUCUCUGUACAUACUGAUCACAGCCUGGAACCAGGUUAUCAGGAAGGCUGAAUGCUCCAUGAAGGCUCCAUGGAGGAGGAGUUGAGAAUCAAAGUAGGAGAUAAGCCAGGUUUGAAGUGGCUGAGAAGCAAGAUGAGAAGAAUUUGGCACCAAAAGCUGUCUGAUAC